rnacentral:rRNA from 1 species
GCAGCCGCGGUAAUUCCAGCUCUAAUAGCGUAUAUUAAAGUUGUUGCAGUUAAAAAGCUCGUAGUCGGAUGUCGGGCUCGGGCAGGCUGUCGGCCUCUGGUCGGACGGCAGGCUCGGGUCUUUUUGCCUGGGGGCUCCGUCACACUUAACUGUGGGGCGGUAGGUCGCAGGCCGUUUACUUUGAAAAAAUUAGAGUGUUCAAAGCAGGCCUACGCUUGAAUACAUUAGCAUGGAAUAAUGGAAUAGGACUUUGGUGCUAUUUUGUUGGUUUAUGGGACUGAAGUAAUGAUUAAUAGGGACAGUUGGGGCCGUUUAUAUUUCGUUGUCAGAGGUGAAAUUCUUGGAUUUACGAAAGAUAAACUUCUGCGAAAGCAUUCGGCAAGGAUGUUUUCAUCGAUCAAGAACGAAAGU